GGAACUCUGCCUCUGUGGUGAGAACAAGCCUAGGCCAGCCACCUGGAGAUGAGAAUACACGUGGAGCAGAGUCACUCAUCCUGCCACAAUCAUCAUUUUCUUCUAUUUCUGUGAAGUUUGCUGGUCCAGAUGCCACAU